rnacentral:rRNA from 1 species
GACGAACGCUGGCAGCGUGCCUAAUACAUGCAAGUCGAGCGAAUGGAUUAAGAGCUUGCUCUUAUGAAGUUAGCGGCGGACGGGUGAGUAACACGUGGGUAACCUGCCCAUAAGACUGGGAUAACUCCGGGAAACCGGGGCCAAUACCGGAUACCAUUUUGAACCGCAUGGUUCGAAAUUGAAAGGCGGCUUCGGCCGUCUCUUAUGGAUGGACCCGCGUGGCAUUAGCUAGUUGGUGAGGUAACGGCUCACCAAUGCAACGAUGCGUAGACGACCUGAGAGGGUGAUGGGCAACACUGGGACUGAGAAACGGCCCAGGCUCCGACGGGAGGAAGCAGUAGGGGAUCUUCCGCAAUGGACGAGAGUCUGACGGAGCAACGGCGCGUGAGUGAUGAAGGCUUUCGGGUCGUAAAACUCUGUUGUUAGGGAAGAACAAGUGCUAGUUGAAUAAGCUUACACCUUGACGGUACCUAACCAGAAAGCCACGGCUAACUACGUGCCAGCAGCCGCCGUAA